rnacentral:rRNA from 1 species
GAUGAACGCUGGCGGCGUGCCUAACACAUGCAAGUCGGACGGUGGCGAAGCAAUUCGCCACAGUGGCGCACGGGUGAGGAACACGUAGCUGACCUGCCCUGGAGCGCGGGAUAACCCUGGGAAACGAGGGCUAAGACCGCCUACGCUCGGCGACUGUAGAGGUCGUCGAGGAAAACCUUUGGGUGCUCUGGGAGGGGGCUGCGGCCCAUCAGGUAGUUGGUGGGGUAAGAGCCUACCAAGCCGACGACGGGGUCGGGGGGUCUGAGAGGAUGAUCCCCCACACUGGGACUGAGACACGGCCCAGACUCCUACGGGAGGCAGCAGUGAGGAAUCUUGGACAAUGGGGGGCAACCCUGAUCCAGCGACGCCGCGUGGGUGAAGAAGGCCUGCGGGUUGUAAAGCCCUUUCGGGUGGGGGAAGAAAAGUCUCGACCUAAUACGUCGGGACCUUGACGUAACCCACUAAAGAAGCACCGGCUAACUCUGUG